rnacentral:rRNA from 1 species
UACGUAGGGGGCAAGCGUUGUCUGGAUUUAUUGGGCGUAAAGAGCUCGUAGGUGGUUCGGUAAGUCGGAUGUGAAAUCUCCAGGCUCAACCUGGAGGGGUCAUUCGAUACUGCCGUGACUAGAGGUCGGUAGGGGAGUGUGGAAUUCCUGGUGGAGCGGUGAAAUGCGCAGAUAUCAGGAGGAACACCCGUAGCGAAGGCGGCACUCUGGGCCGAUACUGACACUGAGGAGCGAAAGCGUGGGGAGCGAACAGG